UUUACAUCAAGAAACUUCAGGAUACAGUGUAUUUGAAAGAUACUAGUGUAUCAAGUCCAUAUUUACAUCAUAACCAAUCUUUUAAGGUUACAACAGCAUUGGGUUUCAUUCUGGGAUACUACUGUAUCAGGUCCAUAUUUACAUCAAAGACAACUCAGUAUAUGGUCUAUUUGAGUGAUACUGGUUAUCAGGUCCAUAUUUACACCAAGGAAAACUCAGGAUACAGUAAGUUUGAAAGAUACUAGUGUAUCAAGUCCAUAUUUACAUCAAAGAAAACUCAGGAUACAGUGUGUUUUUGAAAGAUACUAGUGUAUUAAGUCCAUAUUUACAUCAUAAUUCAUAAUUUAGGUUACAAGAACAUUGGGUUUAAUUCUAGGAUACAACUGUAUCAGGUCCAUAUUUAUACCAAGGAAAACUCUGGACACAGUGUAUUUGAAAGAUACAAGUGUAUCAAGUCCAUAUUUACAUAAUCAUCUUUCUUUUUCAGGUUACACCAACAUUGGGUUUAAUUCUAAUGAUACUUCUGCAUCAGGUCCACAUUUACACCAAGGAAAACUCAGGAUACAAGUGUAUUUGAAAGAUACAAGUGUAUCAAGUCCAUAUUUACAUAAUCAUCUUUCUUUUUGGUAACAUCAACAGUGGGUUUAUUUCUAACAUACUGGUGUAGUAGGUCCA